GGGUUGUGGCUCAGUGGUAGAGCACUUGGCCUGGCAUGUGCAAGGCCCUGGGUUCUAUCCCUAGCACUGUUCA
rnacentral:tRNA from 1 species